rnacentral:rRNA from 1 species
ACGUAUGGUGCAAGCGUUAUCCGGAUUUACUGGGUGUAAAGGGAGCGUAGACGGAGAGGCAAGUCUGAUGUGAAAACCCGGGGCUCAACCCCGGGACUGCAUUGGAAACUGUUUUUCUAGAGUGUCGGAGAGGUAAGUGGAAUUCCUAGUGUAGCGGUGAAAUGCGUAGAUAUUAGGAGGAACACCAGUGGCGAAGGCGGCUUACUGGACGAUGACUGACGUUGAGGCUCGAAAGCGUGGGGAGCAAACAG